rnacentral:rRNA from 1 species
UGGGGAAUUUUGGACAAUGGGCGAAAGCCUGAUCCAGCAAUGCCGCGUGUGUGAAGAAGGCCUUCGGGUUGUAAAGCACUUUUGUCCGGAAAGAAAUCCUUGGCUCUAAUACAGUCGGGGGAUGACGGUACCGGAAGAAUAAGCACCGGCUAACUACGUGCCAGCAGCCGCGGUAAUACGUAGGGUGCAAGCGUUAAUCGGAAUUACUGGGCGUAAAGCGUGCGCAGGCGGUUUGCUAAGACCGAUGUGAAAUCCCCGGGCUCAACCUGGGAACUGCAUUGGUGACUGGCAGGCUAGAGUAUGGCAGAGGGGGGUAGAAUUCCACGUGUAGCAGUGAAAUGCGUAGAGAUGUGGAGGAAUACCGAUGGCGAAGGCAGCCCCCUGGGCCAAGUACUGACGCUCAUGCACGAAAGCGUGGGGGAGCAAACAGGA